AAUAGAAUAAGUCGGUCAGGUUUGUACGUUGCACCUCACCUAAUUGGCAUAGAACGCCGGACUAGACAUAUUAACUCAUGGAUGCGAGAUGGAUCAAGUGAUGUAGGUCUAUUGGUUGUUUGCGGGAUGGGUGGCAUAGGGAAGACUACACUGGCCAAAUUCAUCUACAUGUCUAACUUUUAUGUUUUUGAAGGCAGCAGUUGUGUGCUUAACAUUCGAGAAGCUUCCAAGCAACCUAAUGGCUUAGUUAAGUUGCAGAAGCAAAUACUUUCUGAAAUUCUGAAGAAGGACAAUGAAAGAGUAUCGUGUGUUGAUGAAGGAAUUGUAAAGAUUUCAGACGCUGUAGGUG
rnacentral:misc_RNA from 1 species